AACGUAGGGGGCGAGCGUUGUCCGGAAUUACUGGGCGUAAAGGGCGUGUAGGCGGCCCGUGAAGUCAGGAGUGAAAGCCCGGGGCUCAACCCCGGGACUGCUUUUGAAACCAGCGGGCUUGAGUGCAGGAGAGGGAAGUGGAAUUCCCAGUGUAGCGGUGAAAUGCGUAGAUAUUGGGAGGAACACCAGUGGCGAAAGCGGCUUCCUGGCCUGUAACUGACGCUGAGGCGCGAAAGCGUGGGGAGCAAACAGG
rnacentral:rRNA from 1 species